rnacentral:rRNA from 1 species
CGGACGGGUGAGUAAUGUCUGGGAAACGUGCCUGAUGGAGGGGGGUAACUACUGGAAACGGUAGCUAAUACCGCAUAACGUCGCAAGACCAAGAGGGGACCUUCGGGCCUCUUGCCAUCGGAUGUGCCCAGAUGGGAUUAGCUAGUAGGUGGGGUAACGGCUCACCUAGGCGACGAUCCCUAGCUGGUCUGAGAGGAUGACCAGCCACACUGGAACUGAGACACGGUCCAG